rnacentral:lncRNA from 1 species
UUAAACUGCAUUCCUGCUGGCCUGACGUCCUUCAUGAAGAAAUAAGUGUUACAUGCAGCAUGUAUGCAAUUUCUGGAUAGAAAGCAAUCUGUGGUUCUGCUGGCAGGUUUACCUUCUGCAUCAUCAAGGAAGGAUGGACAUACUUGUGCACACACUUCUCCUAUGUAGAGAGUGUUUUCAUCCUCUACAGUGAAAUACUCCUGACAAUGGACUUGCACAUUGUUCUCAGAUGUGCUGGAUGAGGGGAGAGAAGGGGAUGGUGAAUUGGCUACCAGAAAGAAACCAGCCUGGGAUUCAGCUGAUCAAGUGCCGAUGUGCAUCUCCAGUUACCUGGCUAGACCCUCCACAACAAACAAGAAAAGCAAUAGCAUCAUUUGAUGAACUAUUUGUUUUGUACUUUAGUAGGUAUUUGGAUAUAGAUCAUAGGAAUCACUUGUGUCUGCUUUGUCCUUGGUUUUGCAGAAAAUGUAUUUCUGCUUCUUCAGGUCCUGAGAAAGUUCUCUCUCUCUCCUGCAAACAUGGACUUGCAGAAAGCUCUGGUAUUCCUGAACUAUUUAAUUGAAAUUUCUUGUUGGACCUACUGACAACAUUUUAGAUUUUCUCUGACAAACUUUAAAGCCUUUUGAAGACCUAAAAAUUAGCUCACAGUGGGAAAUAAAUCCAUCAGCUCACAUGGUAAGCA